rnacentral:rRNA from 1 species
CGUGAGGGANNACGGCCUUCGGGUNGUAAACCUCUUNCAGCAGGGACNAAUCGCAAGUGACGGUACCUGCAGAANAAGCACCGGCUAACUACGUGCCAACAGCCGCGGUAAUACGUAGGGUGCAAGCGUUGUCCGGAAUUNCUGGGCGUAAAGAGUUCGUANGCGGUNUGUCGCNUCCUUUGUGAAAACCANCANCUCAACUGCUGGCUUGCAGGCGAUACGGGCAGACUUGAGUACUGCAGGGGAGACUGGAAUUCCUGGUGUAGCGGUGAAAUGCGCAGAUAUCAGGAGGAACACCGGUGGCGAAGGCGGGUCUCUGGGCAGUAACUGACGCUGAGGAACGAAAGCGUGGGUAGCGAACAGGAUUAGAUACCCUGGUAGUCCACGCCGUAAACNGUGGGCGCUAGGUGUGGGUNCCUUCCACGGAAUCCGUGNCGUAGCUAACGCAUUAAGCGCCCCGCCUGGGGAGUACGGCCGCAAGGCUAAAACUCAAAUGA